UGUCUUUUUGAAAAUAAUAUAAAGUCUAAUCUGCCCACUGAUUUAAUAAUUGAAGGGCUGCAGUAUAUUGACUGUACAAAGGUAGCAUAAUCAUUAGUCAUUUAAUUGAUGACUUGUAUGAAGGAUUGGAUGAAAUAUAAACUGUCUCUUGAUUAAAUAUAGAAUUUAAUUUUUUAAUUAAAAAGUUAAAAUAAUUUAAAAAGACGAGAAGACCCUAUAGAGUUUUAUAAAUAAAUUAAUUAAGAUUAUUUAUUAAGUUAAAAUUGAAAUUGGAGUAUUUAUUAUAUUGGGGUGAUAGAAAAAUAUGGUUAACUUUUUUUUAUAGGUAACAUAUAUAAGUGGUUAAAUGAUCCAAUAUUAUUGAUUAUAAGAAAAAAUUACCUUAGGGAUAACAGCGUAAUUUUUUUUUUUAGUUCAUAUAAGAAAAAGAGUUUGCGACCUCGAUGUUGGAUUAAGAUAAAAUUUAAAUGCAGAAG
rnacentral:rRNA from 1 species